AAAAAGAUUAGAAUGUGUCUCUUGCAGCUGUAGUUUUUCAGUUGCCUUUAGCUCAAAUGAUGGCAUAAUGGCAUGUUUUGGCCUGAGCUCAGGCUGCAGCAGGAAACCAGCUGGACACAGAGGAUGCGCUGCACUGGAUCCCCUCCCUACCCACAGGCACCAAGAAUCAGCUCUGCUAGACCGUAACCAGGAAAAUGCCUGCCUGCCGUAUGGGAGAUUGCAGAGUGGGAAGGGCCCUGGACACCAGCCCAAACAGACAACAGCUGGAAGGAGAGCUACCCCAAAUCUGAGUCCACUCUCCCUGCCAUCCUGAUCGAAGAGAUCUUCAUCGUCACCCUAAAAACUUGCAGGAUUUGUGUCUGGAUGAUGUGUUGCACACCCGUAGUUACUGGAACAAUGCUGUGUGCAUCCUCUGUCUUCCUGCCUUUUCCACCAUUAUGUUCCUGGGUUUAGAGUCCUCAGCAGGAAAUGGUGGCUAAAGCCUUCAGCCUGUUUGAUGUAGCAAAUGCAAAAUCACAUCGGUGUCGGGUAUGUGUGCCUUCUUGCAGCAUGAACUGUUCUGAAGUAUGUAUGCACUGUGGAGACUGAAUCCGGCUAACCGACACAUGCACUGCUUUCCACAAGUUGUCAUCCCUGUGCAGAGAACACCAGGUCUGUGGAGCUACGGUAACAAGAUGGCGCUGAGCAGCUUAGGUGAAGGCGGUGCCAGCUGGCCAGCUUGGCACGCAACAAUAAGAAGUAAUACUGAUUGAAGCUCAGCCAGUGAAGGACGCGUGAUCACCUCGUGAACACUGAGUUAUGCUAUGAGAAGGGCCUGCGUGCUAAUACGUGACCUCUGAGCUGAUUGGAUGCCGGCCUCCCCGCCUAUGCUAUGCUUGUGGUUUUUGCCUUUAAAUAUUGUUCAGUCUUAAUA